UCAAGUCAAGAUUCCUCUUUUGGGGUCUCCUUUCUUUCUUGCCGAAUAAUUUCCUUCUUGCUUGUUUUUCUUCCCUUUCCCUUUAUUUAUUUAUUUAUUUCAAUCAUCGCUUUUGAACAAUUCCUAGUUGCACCAUCUUCUUCUUGUCUAGUAGACAUUUUCCCCUCACUUAAAAACUCCAAAAUGUUUUCUAUAAAAAGAUUUUUGCAACAGUGUUGCUGACCCUCUUUCAUUUUAUACACAAAGAAGAGAUCUCCAGUUCUUUCAUGGUUCCAAAUAGUCAUAUCUCUGGAGAUGUAUCAGCAUUGUUGUAAUGUAUAACGGUAUUUGGACAAGAAUUUUUAAUAAUCAUAUAAAUUAGUGCCUUUUUUGUGUGAAUGUGAGGGUUUGUCUGUCUUUUUUCUCUCUUUCUCUUCAUAAAAUGACUACCAAAAAAAAAUCCCAUCUCACCAUUCCACCUUGUAAUUCAUUCAUCCGUGCCAUAGUAGAGUGUCAUAUCAUUCUAGGGUUUUGCUUGCCUUAUCAUAAUGGGGACAUAUGCUUCAAGUUGACCUACUGUGUAAAAGUCUGCAGGGGAACAAGUGAAGCUGCCAGCAUGAUCUAGCCUUGGUUAGAGGGAUAAUGUGGAGAGAGAGGUGAGGGAGAAGUCUAACCCUAGCUAGGUCAUGCUCUGACAGCCUCACUCCUUCCCCUAUGGGGGACCCAACAGAUUCCAACCAUUCUUCUGUUCUUCCACAAAUAGAAAAGCAGAAAGUGAAAAAUAGAACGGAGAAAUCACUAGGAAGAUAUGAGAGAAGUUCCUCCAGGAUGGGAUUCCUCGCAUUAUAUUUUCAGCUCUCUAAGCUUUCAAGUUGUUUGGAUGUUGACUUCGGAAGAAUUAGAUUUGGGGAGAGAUUUUGGAAGAAAAUUGUGAAAUUUUUUAUUUAUAUUUCAUUCACAUUUUUUUAAUGAAUCUAAAAUGCAGUGUCGAAUUCUGAAUUUGUAAUUUGCCAAAAUCUUCGCAAAACUGAAGCUAUUUGUGAGGGUUAAUGGUCUCAUGAAAAUAAACCGUUGGUAAUGCUGAAGCUAAAACUACCGGACAUGAUACACAAGAAGUGUUCUCGGAAUAUGUUGUAUUUUCAUUUCUUUAGAAUCAUUUUUUUUCGUGGAGAAAUAAGAAAUGGUUAAUCAGAUUAUUUACAGCAAUGCUGUCAAACUCGAUGAAACAAGUUUGUAAUAAUUAACGUAACACAUUUUGAACUU